CAGACUGCUGGUGAGCUUUAGCUACCAAGAGGUCCUCUGCAUCAUGGGUAGAGGUGAUGUCUCUCUGUUCCAAGUUUCAUCAUAAAUGGUUGUGCUUUCCAACAAUGGGGCUGAAGCAGGAGCCAGCAGCAGCAGAACUGGGAGCUUGGACAAGCUGGAAUGGAAGGGAUGUCCAUCUCUAACAUUCUCCUAAAUCCUUUUCUAUGGAAUCCUCAUUUUCCUUUCUGUUCCGCAAGUAUCCAUCUGAAAUCAAGGUGCUCAGGGCCUGUAAGGCUCUGCCAAUGGCUUUUUGGAGUAAGCUCACUUCACUUGAGAGGUGCUAGAGGCUCAUAGGACCAGUGAGUCCUGAAGCCUUACGUUAAAAGAUGAUUAUAUACUAGAUUAUAAAGAGAUAGAGCAAUCCAACAGUUUCCAGGGUUGCAAAGUCUGUGGUUUAGCACUCUUCCCAGGUAGCUCCAGUGCCCACCAGCUGUGUUUUAUAUAGCAUGUAUUUUAUCUAACAGCUGUGUUUCAUGUUUCCAUGCUGCCAAUGGAUUUGGCAGCAGGCACUCUAUACAAAGCCAUCAUUGUACAAGUGGGUAUGUACAGUUUUGUCUCCAAGGUCUUUGGAAAAAGGCUCUCAAACUACUGGGACCGUUGCCUCAUAGUAUUCCUAUGUCUUCGACCCAGGAAGGGCAUAGGACCCAAGGUGAACCAAUAGUAGGAAUCCAUUCUUUUGUUCACAAAGAUUGGUCCAGGGGUGGUCACGUGACACAUGCUAGAUGACUUGGAACUCUGGGGCAGGACAUUUCAUCCUGAAGCCAAUGGAAAAGCAUCCUUUUCUCGCUGAUUGCUCCAAGAAAGAUGCCAAAUUGAUGGUCUCCUGUGCUCCAGCAGAUGUCAGUGUGGCCUUACUGGAGAACCUAGGGAAACCAGGAUGUACCCGAUUGCCUCCAGAAAUGAAUGAACAGGACGUUGUGUUUCACAGGUCAUCUAAGAAAGGAGGCAGGAAAGAGAGCUUUGCUGCAAGUUAUGACUCUCAGUGCCAUUGACCAAAUAGACAUUUAUUUGACAAAAAUUAAGAAGUCACAGAAUAUCAAGUGUUGGAGAAGCUAUUCACAACAUAUACCACUUUCAUAUUUUGGAAGGGAGUAUACAGUGAUUCACCGCUUUGGAAACUAGUUAGAUGUGAACUUGUAAGGCAAAAGAGCUUCAGAAAACAUCCAUCAUUAAGUAGUGUUACAAACGGCACUUUUGGCUACAUUAGAGAAUUAGAUAUGAGUCCCAUGUGUUUUCUCUGAUAGGUGAGUAGUAGAGCAACUUUAUAAUGCAACCCUUUC